GCAGGGAUGCUCAGUGGCUCCUCAUCAGAACAGCAAGGUGUGUGUGGACAUCUGUAGGGUUGUGCUCUGGGUCUGAGUGUGUCAUGUAUUUUUGCUGUUGGAAGGUGGACUAGAGCGUGUGCCUGUUAAACCUAAGGACAGUCAAAAGCUGGGAGUGACCCUAAGCAGGUUUGGUGGUACAACUGCAGUUUUAAAAGAUCUUGACUGUUUGGAGAAACGGCCUGGAAAAAAAUCAUUCCUUUUUUGCAACGAGGCAGUUUACAAGGACAGAUGUGUUGCUGUGCUCUUUAAUAAAAAUGUUCAACUUGGGACACAUAGGGUGAAGAAAUCUUGACUAUACUUAGGCUUGAGAAACUGCAUGUAGAUAUCUAUGUCUGUCAUCUGCAUAUAUCUGGGAAAGUGAGUUCUAGAGAAACUAAAGCUGCCAAUGAGUAAAAAAAAAGGCACGGUUGUCCAAAAAAUGCAAAAGCUCCAGUGGCCUGUAUCAACAACUGUACCAAAGAUGAUGCAGAAUACGUUUUCCUCCGCUCAGUUGUACUGUCUUCACAAACCUUCGCAAAAAAAGGAAGCUUUAGAUUCCUACCCAGCUUUAUGCUAAAGGUUUUUUCCCCUCUCAGCUGGAUGUCAACUCCCACCACUUCACUGUGGUCGCCCUUUCUUCUGCUGUGAAAGUACAAGACAGAUGGAAAGAAUCCAUAGUGGUCUGCAAGUACAAGGCUUUCCCAAGAAGCAUUAGCAGCCUUGUAACUAGUGACAGUGAGUCCUGAGGUGGUUUUGUUUCCCAUGCUCUGCCAGCAAGCAGGUGUGCAAGAAGCUGGGAGGGAG